GAUGAACGCUAGCGGCAGGCUUAAUACAUGCAAGUCAAGGGGUAGCAAUACAACCGGCGCACGGGUGAGUAACGCGUACACAACAUACCAUAUACUGGAGUAUAGCUUUGGGAAACUGAAGGUAAUCCUCCAUAACAUUGCGAGAGGGCAUCUGAUUGCAAUUAAAGUUUCGGCGGUAUAUGAUUGGUGUGCGUUUGAUUAGCUAGUUGGUAGGGUAACGGCCUACCAAGGCGACGAUCAAUAGCUGGCGUGAGAGCGCGACCAGCCACACUGGAACUGAGACACGGUCCAGACUCCUACGGGAGGCAGCAGUAGGGAAUAUUGGACAAUGGAGGAAACUCUGAUCCAGCCAUGCCGCGUGAUAGAUGAAGGCCCUCUGGGUUGUAAAUAUCUUUUAUCUGGGAAGAAACGACUCCUAUUCUUAGGAACUUGACGGUACCAGAGGAAUAAGCACCGGCUAACUCCGUGCCAGCAGCCGCGGU
rnacentral:rRNA from 1 species